rnacentral:misc_RNA from 1 species
GAUGAAGAACGCAGCGAAAUGCGAUAAGUAGUGUGAAUUGCAGAAUUUAGUGAAUCAUCGAAUCUUUGGACGCACAUUGCGCCCUAUAGUAUUCUGUAGGGCAUGCCUGUUCGAGCGUUAUUGAGACCUCAAGCUCUGCUUGGAAAUGGGCGCUUGUCUUGCCUUGCAGACUCGCCUUAAAACCAUUGGCAGCUGAUUUACAAUGUUUGGUGCACAGUACAUGAGCCCAAGUGUUGCAAUGAGUGGCCCAAAAGUAUACAAUAGAAGCUUAACCUCGGAUCAGGUAGGGAUACCCGCUGAACUUAAGCAUAUCAAUAAGCGGAGGA